AUUGAACGCUGGCGGCAUGCCUUACACAUGCAAGUCGAACGGUAACAGGCCGCAAGGUGCUGACGAGUGGCGAACGGGUGAGUAAUGCAUCGGAAUGUGCCCAGUCGUGGGGGAUAACUACUCGAAAGAGUAGCUAAUACCGCAUACGAUCUAUGGAUGAAAGCGGGGGACCGUAAGGCCUCGCGCGAUUUGAGCGGCUGAUGUCAGAUUAGGUAGUUGGUGGGGUAAAGGCUCACCAAGCCAACGAUCUGUAGCUGGUCUGAGAGGACGACCAGCCACGCUGGGACUGAGACACGGCCCAGACUCCUACGGGAGGCAGCAGUGGGGAAUUUUGGACAAUGGGCGCAAGCCUGAUCCAGCAAUGCCGCGUGCAGGAAGAAGGCCUUCGGGUUGUAAACUGCUUUUGUACGGAAAGAAACGGCUCUGGUUAAUACCCGGGGCUAAUGACGGUACCGUAAGAAUGAGCACCGGCUAACUACGUG
rnacentral:rRNA from 1 species